UAAGAUGGAUGUCUAAUAACAUGAUAAUGAAUAAGAUUCAUAAUGAACAAUGCAUGCAGCAUAUAUAAGAGAUAAAACGAGAGAUAGUCAAUGAAGACGGUUUGGUCACGCAAAGAAUCAAAUGCCCCAGUACGAAAAUGUGAUAAGUUAGUAGGUGAAAGAGCGAUAUGGGGGAGGAGACCUAAGAUGUUGUGGACGAAAGUGGAUUCAAAGGACUUACAAGCUUUA
rnacentral:misc_RNA from 1 species